UGGAGAUGACAGUUGUUCUGGAAUGUGUGCCUACACCUGUAGCGGUAGCUGUAACCUCUAUCUAGGCUCCAUACUGUAAUUAAGUUACUUUCCAGUUAGACUAAAAAGGACCUACAUUGUUGGUGGAUGUUCCAAGGGAUACAAACUUAAUAGGUCUACAAAGGUGUGAAAAGAGCUGUAGACUGAUGUAGAUAAAUUACUUGAGGCCUGAUCUUAAGAGAGGCACAUUCUCGCAGCAAGAAGAGAACUUGAUAAUCAAACUUCAUACAGUUCUAUGUAACAGAGAGAGCCUUUGCUUUGCAUGUAGCUUGUGUUUGCAAAAGAGCAAGGAGUGUAGCUAUAGUGGGUUCCUAGCACUCAAGACAGGAAUUGUUGGAUUAUAGUUGCCUGGAAAUGUUGUAUUGAAAUUGGAAAUUGGAAUUAGAAUUGGAAUUGAAAUUGAAAUGUGUACUAGAAAAGAAGGAAAAGAUUAUUAUGUGUGUGAAUCAUUCUAUUGUCUUUUUCUUCUAUUUGUAUAAUCAUUUGGCAUAUAAUACAGGUAGAUUACAGUUCUCUAAAUUUUUCCUA